GAUGAACGCUGGCGGCGUGCUUAACACAUGCAAGUCGAACGGUGAAAGCGGGAGCUUGCUCCUGCUGGAUCAGUGGCGAACGGGUGAGUAACACGUGAGCAAUCUGCCCCGAACUCUGGGAUAAGCGCUGGAAACGGCGUCUAAUACCGGAUACGACGCGCGACGGCAUCGUCUGCGCGUGGAAAGAACUUCGGUUCGGGAUGAGCUCGCGGCCUAUCAGCUUGUUGGUGAGGUAACGGCUCACCAAGGCGACGACGGGUAGCCGGCCUGAGAGGGUGACCGGCCACCCUGGGACUGAGACACGGCCCAGACUCCUACGGGAGGCAGCAGUGGGGAAUAUUGGACAAUGGGCGGAAGCCUGAUCCAGCAACGCCGCGUGAGGGAUGACGGCCUUCGGGUUGUAAACCUCUUUCAGCACCGACGAAGCGCAAGUGACGGUAGGUGCAGAAGAAGGACCGGCCAACUACGUGCCAGCCGCCGCCGUAAGAC
rnacentral:rRNA from 1 species